GGAGUAUGGACCGUGUCUCAGUUCCAUUGUGGCCGUUCAUCCUCUCAGACCGGCUACCGAUCGUCGCCUUGGUAGGCUUUUACCCUACCAACUAGCUAAUCGGACGCAGGCUCCUCGCAAAGCGAUAAAUCUUUAGUGUAAAGUUCAUGCAAACCCUACACAACAUCCGGUAUUAGCGUCCCUUUCGGGACGUU
rnacentral:rRNA from 1 species